UACGUAGGGUGCGAGCGUUGUCCGGAAUUAUUGGGCGUAAAGAGCUUGUAGGCGGUUUGUCGCGUCUGCUGUGAAAAUCCGGGGCUCAACCCCGGACUUGCAGUGGGUACGGGCAGACUGGAGUGUGGUAGGGGAGACUGGAAUUCCUGGUGUAGCGGUGAAAUGCGCAGAUAUCAGGAGGAACACCUAUUGCGAAGGCAGCUCGCUGGGACGUUACUGACGCUGAGACGCGAAAGCGUGGGGAGCAAACAGG
rnacentral:rRNA from 1 species